rnacentral:rRNA from 1 species
UACGUAGGUGACAAGCGUUAUCCGGAAUUACUGGGCGUAAAGCGCACGCAGGCGGUGCGUUAAGUCUGACGUGAAUCUCCUGGCUUAACUGGGAGGGUCGUUGGAAACUGGCGGACUUGAGGCGAUGAGAGGGUGUAGAAUUCCCGGUGUAGUGGUGGAAUGCGUAGAUAUCGGGAGGAAUACCAGUGGCGAAAGCGGCACCCUGGCAUUAGCCUGACGCUCAUGUGCGAAGGCGUGGGAGCGAACGGG